GGACGGCUAGCUCAACGGCAGAGCGCUUGAUUUACAUUCAAGAUGUUGUAGGUUCGAAUCCUGCGCCGUCCA
rnacentral:tRNA from 1 species